AAGCACGAGCGAUCUUAUCCGCCAAGAGAGCAGAUCAAAAUUGCCCGCUCGAAUCUGAAACCUUAAACCUAGAGAUGGAUUUAAUCUCAAGUGGAAGUCUGUCGAUCGAUCUCCCAACCGAGUAGAUCAAAUCUAUCACAGUUGGGAAUCAUCGGUUGUUUAUGGUGCGUUGUUGAAAACUGAAUUUAGAUUCUCAGACACAAAUAAGGGGCUCGAGAGCUAAGUUAGAAUCAUUUGGUGGCUUUGCUCCGAGCAGCAAUCAAAAUCAAACGGGAAGUGAGCUGCUUCAGCUAUUGUGAUGAAGAUGAUAUGCAUAAAGCAACUGGCAAUGGAGGUGCUUACAUGAUGAAAAAUCCUGCAAUUUUGGAGUUCAAACUGAGUUGGGUUUCAUGACGCAAGAAAUGAGGGAAGUCAUCAUGCCUCCGGUAAUGCGCCCAAGGGUGGUCAAGCGGUAAAGGUCCAGCCUAUUGAAGUUCCGCUUAUACCAGUAGAGGAGCUAAAGGAAAUUACAGAUAACUUUGGGACAAAUGCCUUGAUUGGGGAAGGUUCGUAUGGAAGAGUAUAUUAUGGGGUACUUAAAAGCAGGGAGCAUACAGCAAUCAAGAAGCUAGAUGCCAGCAAACAACCUGAUGAGGUAUCUUGCACAGAUGGGACCUAUCUUGCAAAAAACUGUAUAUUCAUUACACCUCCCUCCCACAGAAAAAUAUGUUCCUCCAUUCGAGGAUCCAUGGAGGUUUUGGUGACUGCAUAUUUGAUUUUCUUGUCCACCACUGCAAAACGUGAAAUUUGUAUACCUUUAUUCUAUUACCAUUCAAAUUUUGGCUGUAAGUUCCACUAUGCUUUGGGUUUGAAAAAGAUGCAAUAGACUUUCGACCUGAGAAAUCAAACAUUCAUGACU